UAGGGAAUCUUCCACAAUGGGCGAAGGCCUGAUGGAGCAACGCCGCGUGUGUGAUGAAGGCUUUAGGGUCGUAAAGCACUGUUGUAUGGGAAGAAAUGCUAGAAUAGGGAAUGAUUCUAGUUCGACGGUACCAUACCAGAAAGGGACGGCUAAAUACGUGCCAGCAGCCGCGGUAAUACGUAUGUCCCGAGCGUUAUCCGGAUUUAUUGGGCGUAAAGCGAGCGCAGACGGUUGAUUAAGUCUGAUGUGAAAGCCCGGAGCUCAACUCCGGAAUGGCAUUGGAAACUGGUUAACUUGAGUGUUGUAGAGGUAAGUGGAACUCCAUGUGUAGCGGUGGAAUGCGUAGAUAUAUGGAAGAACACCAGUGGCGAAGGCGGCUUACUGGACAACAACUGACGUUGAGGCUCGAAAGUGUGGGUAGCAAACAG
rnacentral:rRNA from 1 species